rnacentral:miRNA from 1 species
UCGGCUUUCUCACAAGACGGC